rnacentral:ncRNA from 2 species
UGGCAGAAUCAGCGGGGAA